CUUGGGAAGUAGGGACCAGGUUCUGUGUUUCCCCCUCUGCACCCGUGGGCUACUCACCGUGUACACAGUAGAUGCUCAGCUAUUGUCGCUUUAAUUGAAUCCAGCAUUUCAGACCUUUUGGAGAAACCCAGCUGCUCGCUGCUGGUUCUUAAACUACUGCUACCAUGAGAAUGACCAAAAUUGAGGACUUGGAUUCCAGAGCCCCUGCUUUUGACCGAGACACCUCCCAGAAUUCUUCAGUGAAUCAGAGAACAGGCAGAAGGAGAGCCAUUACCUGCACCCAAGGGAAGGGGGCGGCCAG